CUAGCGUUGCUCGGAAUCACUGGGCGUAAAGCGCACGUAGGCGGCUUUCUAAGUCAGGGGUGAAAUCCUGGAGCUCAACUCCAGAACUGCCUUUGAUACUGGAGAGCUCGAGUCCGGAAGAGGUGAGUGGAACUGCGAGUGUAGAGGUGAAAUUCGUAGAUAUUCGCAAGAACACCAGUGGCGAAGGCGGCUCACUGGUCCGGUACUGACGCUGAGGUGCGAAAGCGUGGGGAGCAAACAGG
rnacentral:rRNA from 1 species